rnacentral:rRNA from 1 species
AUGGCUCGUCUCCUCCUCGUCGUCCUAGCGCUUCACCUCACCGCUGCCAGAGCCUUCGCCGCGUCAAGCGUCGGCGGCCGUAACGGCGACUUCGACCCCUCCCGCGUCGUCCAGCUCUCGUGGCACCCCAGAGCGUUCCUGCACAAGGGGUUCCUCUCGGACGCGGAGUGCGACCACAUGAUCGAGCUGGCGAAGGACAAGCUUGAGAAGUCGAUGGUGGCGGACAAUGAGUCGGGAAAGAGCGUCCAGAGCGAAGUGCGGACCAGCUCCGGCAUGUUUCUUGAGAAGAGGCAGGAUGAAGUAGUAGCAAGGAUAGAGGAGAGGAUUGCUGCUUGGACUUUCCUUCCGUCGGAGAAUGGCGAGUCCAUUCAAAUAUUACACUAUAAGAAUGGUGAGAAGUAUGAGCCACACUAUGAUUACUUCCAUGACAAAAAUAACCAAGCUCUCGGUGGUCACCGAAUAGCAACAGUGCUCAUGUAUCUGUCUAACAUUGAGAAGGGUGGAGAGACCAUCUUCCCUAACGCAGAGGGGAAGUUAACACAACACAAGGAUGAGACGGCAUCUGAGUGUGCUAAAAAUGGAUAUGCAGUAAAGCCCGUAAAAGGUAACGCCCUGCUGUUCUUCAGCCUCCACCCUGAUGCAACGACAGACCCUGACAGUUUGCACGGGAGCUGCCCCGUCAUCGAAGGCCAGAAGUGGUCCGCCACGAAAUGGAUCCAUGUGAGGUCCUUCGAAAACUCGGGCAAGCAGGGAGGUGGGUGCGAGGACGAGAAUGUCCUCUGCUCGCAGUGGGCUGCCGUUGGGGAGUGCGCCAAGAACCCCAACUAUAUGGUGGGCACCAAGGAAGCUCCUGGCUUCUGCAGGAAGAGCUGCAACGUCUGCGCGCAGUAA